UACGUAGGGUGCAAGCGUUGUCCGGAAUUAUUGGGCGUAAAGAGCUCGUAGGCGGCUCAGUUAGUCGGGUGUGAAACCCCCGGGCUCAACCCGGGGACGCCACCCGAUACUGCUGUGGCUAGAGUCCGGUAGGGGAGCGUGGAAUUCCUGGUGUAGCGGUGAAAUGCGCAGAUAUCAGGAGGAACACCAGUGGCGAAGGCGGCUCACUGGCCCGAUACUGACGCUGAGGCACGAAAGCGUGGGGAGCAAACAGG
rnacentral:rRNA from 1 species